GGGCACUUAAGUUAAGAAAACUCGAAGCCUUCAAAGCUUCAAACAAGGGUUAAAACCCCUUAGUCCCCG
rnacentral:tRNA from 1 species